rnacentral:rRNA from 1 species
AGAAUGAACGCUGGCGGCGUGCUUUACACAUGCAAGUCGAGCGAGGCGGCCCGCAAGGGUCAGUCGAGCGGCGAACGGGUGAGUAACGCGUGGAUAACCUGCCCUGAGGUGUGGAACAACCAGGGGAAACUCUGGCUAAUACCGCAUGAUACCGAGAGGUCAAAGGGGGCUCGCAAGAGCUCUCGCCACAGGAGGGGUCCGCGUUCGAUUAGCUAGUUGGUAGGGUAAUGGCCUACCAAGGCGACGAUCGAUAGCCGGCCUGAGAGGGUGAUCGGCCACACUGGAACUGAGACACGGUCCAGACUCCUACGGGAGGCGGCAGUGGGGAAUUUGCGUCAAUGGGCUAACGCCUGACGCAGCAACGCCGCGUGGAGGAUGAAGGUCCUUGGAUUGUAAACUCCUGUCAGCAGGAAAAGCAACCUGACCUCAUACGUCAGAAGUUAGAUUGUACCUGCAGAGAAGCCCCGGAUAACUCUGUCGCCAGUCAGUACCG